ensembl:lncRNA
AGACACUGGAACACGUUGCCCAGUGGGGUUGUGAAUUCCCCCUCCCUGGAGGCAUUUAAAGACAGGCUGGAUGGGGCCUUGAGCAACCUGGUCUAGAUGGGGGGCUGGAACGAGAUGAUCUUAAAGGAAACCCUCCUCUACUAUGUCCCGAGAACAAAGCCUCCUCCAGUCAUGUUGAUAAGAUGGAUCUUGUUGUACAGCCUUCUAGUAAGGCUGGCUCAGAGCAACAAUCAAGAUUCUGAAAAGUCUGAAAACAUCACCACACCUUCAUCAAAAAUUUUAGAUGCCUCUACUAAGUCAAAAGAACAUGGAAAACACAAGACAUUGCACAUUAUUUAUGCUUCAGUACCCGUGGGUCUAUGUUGUCCAUUCAUCUUCAUAUGCGUGUUUUGGAGUCUAAGGAGGUACUAUGGAAAGCGUAAGAGAACUCCAUCAGCACCACAGAGACAAGAGAGCCGGGUCAGAAGGCUAUCAGCUCUUCCAUCCCACGCUGAUGGGACAACUCCAGAUACAGAUGAAAGCUCCUCACUUUACUGUUCCAUGUCUAGCCCACCUCAGCUCUUGCCUGUCAACAAGAUUUAUGACAGUGUUCCUCAACGUAAUGCUCAGGAGACAGCAUCUAACUCACCUUCUAAUGAUCCUUCCAUCCCAGCUUCACUUGAAAGCCAAGAUGUCCUCAUAUAUGCCUCACUAAACCAUUCUGCUUCUACAAAUAAAUACCAGAGAAGGAAGUUCUCUAUAGAAAAUGAAUUUAUAGAAUAUGCCUCUAUUAAGGUAAAUAAAUAAAUACGGCAGACUUCACCAAACAG